rnacentral:rRNA from 1 species
UGACACGUCUUGACGCAGUCUGAUGGAGCACGCCGCGUGAGUGAAGAAGGGUUUCGGCUCGUAAAGCUCUGUUGUUAAAGAAGAACGUGGGUGAGAGUAACUGUUCACCCAGUGACGGUAUUUAACCAGAAAGCCACGGCUAACUACGUGCCAGCAGCCGCGGUAAUACGUAGGUGGCAAGCGUUAUCCGGAUUUAUUGGGCGUAAAGCGAGCGCAGGCGGUCUUUUAAGUCUAAUGUGAAAGCCUUCGGCUCAACCGAAGAAGUGCAUUGGAAACUGGGAGACUUGAGUGCAGAAGAGGACAGUGGAACUCCAUGUGUAGCGGUGAAAUGCGUAGAUAUAUGGAAGAACACCAGUGGCGAAGGCGGCUGUCUGGUCUGUAACUGACGCUGAGGCUCGAAAGCAUGGGUAGCGAACAGGAUUAGAUACCC